CAGAGUUUGAAACCAAAGCACAGGAGAUGUUUACAUAAAGAAUUGUUACUACAGAGAGCUGAAUGGCUCCAAGUGGAUCCGGCUGCAGAUGGAGAAGCAGAACCACCUGCACAAGCCUUCCAGCUAGCAGAACCAAUGGUAGCAGAACCAGUGGCAGCAGCAGCACCUCAGGAUGUCAGCACACAGACUGGAGAGCAUCACUACCAAGACCACACUGUCCUGCUAAUGUGGUCAAUGCAAUGAGGCAGGAGCUACAGGAGAUGAAAGACAUUCUCCAAACUUUGAGGGGCAACCCUCCUCCUGUUUUAUAAAUUUGUGAUCAAUGAUGAUCACUUCAGUAUUAGCAUCGUUGCACUGUUUUUUUUAUUUUUAUAUAAAAACAGUUCUAUCUUC